rnacentral:rRNA from 1 species
GUAGGGAAUCUUCCACAAUGGACGAAAGUCUGAUGGAGCAACGCCGCGUGAGUGAAGAAGGUUUUCGGAUCGUAAAGCUCUGUUGUUGGUGAAGAAGGAUAGAGGUAGUAACUGGCCUUUAUUUGACGGUAAUCAACCAGAAAGUCACGGCUAACUACGUGCCAGCAGCCGCGGUAAUACGUAGGUGGCAAGCGUUGUCCGGAUUUAUUGGGCGUAAAGCGAGCGCAGGCGGAAGAAUAAGUCUGAUGUGAAAGCCCUCGGCUUAACCGAGGAACUGCAUCGGAAACUGUUUUUCUUGAGUGCAGAAGAGGAGAGUGGAACUCCAUGUGUAGCGGUGGAAUGCGUAGAUAUAUGGAAGAACACCAGUGGCGAAGGCGGCUCUCUGGUCUGCAACUGACGCUGAGGCUCGAAAGCAUGGGUAGCGAACAGGAUUAGAAACCCCAGUAGUCC